rnacentral:lncRNA from 1 species
AUGAUUCACAGUAGAUUCCAGUAUUAAUAGGUUUUGAUCAUAAAUCACAAAAUAAUAGCUUUGCCUAAUGGAAGCAGCAAAUAUUUAAAUGAGGGCUUCUAACUUGUUUCCUUAUUUAAAAUUUAUGUAAUCUGGGCACCACAAGUGAUGAUGUAUGCCUUAAGUCCCAGCACUCAGGAAGCAGAGGCAGAUGGAUCUCUAUGAAUUUGAGGCCAGCCUGGUCUACAGAACAAGUAACAGGACAGCCAAGGUUACGCACAGAAACACUCAACAAAGCAAAGCAAAGCAAAACAAAACAAAAUUAUGUUUAGAUGGAUUAUUUCCCCCCACCUAAUAUCUAUUUCUUUUUGAUAUUUUCUCAAGUUGUAAAGGUACACAGUAAAGUAGGUAUCUGUGACUUUAUUGUACUAAGAGGCUAUAGAUACUUCUGAGACCAAACAGAAAGGUCCCGGACUCUACCACCAAAGCUUCCUUCUCUGGCUUGCACUGUUUCUACAGGACUUGUCUCAGACAACCAGGUCUUGAAAGCACAAGAUUCCCACGAAGAAUUCAGAGACUUUCCCGCAACCAUCAUAUGGACAGAAAAGCCUGGCUUACUCUGACUAUUACAUGAUCUUCCUGCUGGCGACGAGCCCUCUGUCACCUCUCUACAUGCCAAGUGCAAACAGACUCAACAUGUAUAAGCAAAUCAUUGUACCAAAUGCAGCCCACCAGCAGAGAGCAAGGAUCAGAUGAGAGAUAGUCAAAACUCCUAGACUGGCACGGUCCAAGAUCACAAAGAUUAUAUCUGACACCCCCUCAAAGAACUCUUCUCCGUGUAGUGUCUUCCUGUGUCCAUACAAGGUCUCAAAGGGAUGACAGCAGUGGUGAUUGGCACGGGCUUACCUUGUUAUCACAAAGUGGCUAUUUGAACUUCUGCUUCAGGGUCACCACAACUGUUAAGCUCUCCUCUGGCCACUUCCUGCUGUGCAGUCCUUCCUGCAAUGCCUUCUUCAGUUUCCCCUACCUCUUAUCCUGUAGUCAGUUUUAAUUCCUUUCAUUUUUAAUAAAC